GACGAACGCUGGCGGCGUGCUUAACACAUGCAAGUCGAACGGAAAGGCCCUGCUUUUGUGGGGUGCUCGAGUGGCGAACGGGUGAGUAACACGUGAGUAACCUGCCCUUGACUUUGGGAUAACUUCAGGAAACUGGGGCUAAUACCGGAUAGGAGCUCCUGCUGCAUGGUGGGGGUUGGAAAGUUUCGGCGGUUGGGGAUGGACUCGCGGCUUAUCAGCUUGUUGGUGGGGUAGUGGCUUACCAAGGCUUUGACGGGUAGCCGGCCUGAGAGGGUGACCGGCCACAUGGGGACUGAGAUACGGCCCAGACUCCUACGGGAGGCAGCAGGGGGGAAUAAUGAACAAUGGGCGGAAGCCUGAUGCAGCAACGCCGCGUGCGGGAUGACGGCCUUCGGGUUGUAAACCGCUUUCGCCUGUGACGAAGCGUGAGUGACGGUAAUGGGUAAAGAAGCACCGGCUAACUACGUG
rnacentral:rRNA from 1 species